UCCUAGCUAGCUAUCUCUUUCCAUAAUGGAGAUGGUAGGUAUAAUUAUUUAUAGUUUCUCUCUCUAGAUUUUCUGUAUCUGGAAGAGAGAGAAAGGGAGAGAGAGAGGGCGUGGAGCCCAAAACUGGUCCUCUGCUUUGCUGGAUCGAAGCUCUCGAUUGUUGGUUUUUAAUGGUGUUUGUCUGCUGAGAUAUACCACAGUUUCAGUUGCCCCAAUCAAACACCACCAUUGCACUACUGUAAUUCUAAUUCAAAUACCAACUCUCUCUCUCUCUCUCUCUCUCUCUACUGUUUCUUCUCUCUCUCUCUCAUCGAUAAUUUCUGUUUUGCAGCUCUGUUUUCUCUCUCCCCCAUUUCUGAGUUUUUCCUUCUUCUUCAAAUACUUCAUCAUCAUCUUCUUGUACUUGUAAUUGCGCACAAACAAAAUU
rnacentral:lncRNA from 1 species